GGGCCACAUGUUCUACUUAACUAUGUAAUAUUAUAAUUCAGAAGGGGAGGUGACCACAUGUUAUACUUAACUAUGAUAAAUUAUAAUUCAGAAGAGGGAGGUGACCACAUGUUCUACUUAACUAUGUAAUAUUAUAAUUCAGAAGAGGGAGGUGACCACAUGUUCUACUUAACUAUGUAAUAUUUGAUUUUGAAGAUUUAUGUCAGUCAAAAGGUUAGUACAACAGAAGUUCAAAAAAUGCAUGAGACUUUUACUAAAUCAGGGAUGGACCACAGAAAAAUCAGAACUCAACAUGACAGGCUGCAGUAGCACCCCUCCCCACACCUAUUGCAAGCAAAACAUUUAGUGGCCCCACUCUUGACAGCAGAUAUGUUUUUUAUGUUUUAGGGUUAAUUUUGUGCAAUUCCACACAUUGCGAUGUAGACAAUAUUUUGCAGUUUUCUAACUAACUAAUGCAAUUCUACUCAUGUUGCCAUGGUGCGAAGAGAAGGAAUUGCCUGUGGGUCGCCCGUUGCCCAUUCCUGUACUAAAUAUUCCCACGUCUCCGGCUUCUUUGCAACACUUCAUGACACAACACCACAAGAACACAUUUUUUGUUUGUUUUGAUAAAUGUUUAUGUUACAGCCAAUUUUGUUACAGCUUGACCAUAGUGGGAAACAGCAAGUUGCCGUAGACAUUUAGGGAUGUUUUCCCAGACACACAUUAAGACUAGUCCUGGACUAAAAAGCAUAUUUAUUGAAGAAUCUCUGUGUCUGGGAAACCGCUCCUCAGAUACAUACAAAUAAAUAAAGGAUGCCGGUACUGGGUCUUCUCAAGACUGUCACCACAUCCUUCAUCACAAGGCACACCAACCUUCACUCAGCAUGGGGAGCACAAGACUGACCCAAAAUCCUGGUACUUGAACACAAUAAGCUGCACCUGGAAACACACAUGAACCUGGGCAGAAGAUGGUUGGUGUUCCUGCCUGACUACAUUGCAGAUGCCUGCCAGAUCUCACAACGUUUGGGAAGUUGUUUGUCACCUCACAGAGCAUAUUCUCCCUGCAGCCCUCAUAGGUGUCAUCGAAAGAGUCAGGGGCCAUGUCAUGAAUCUUCAGAAAAGGGAAGAGACAAUGGUAACACUUUAAUUAUAGUAGUGAAAUGUAUUAUUCAUAAAGCCUUUAUAUGCAUGACAUUGUCAUAA
rnacentral:lncRNA from 1 species